rnacentral:rRNA from 1 species
GACGAACGCUGGCGGCGUGCUUAACACAUGCAAGUCGAACGGAAAGGCCCUGCUUUUGUGGGGUGCUCGAGUGGCGAACGGGUGAGUAACACGUGAGUAACCUGCCCUUGACUUUGGGAUAACUUCAGGAAACUGGGGCUAAUACCGGAUAGGAGCUCCUGCUGCAUGGUGGGGGUUGGAAAGUUUCGGCGGUUGGGGAUGGACUCGCGGCUUAUCAGCUUGUUGGUGGGGUAGUGGCUUACCAAGGCUUUGACGGGUAGCCGGCCUGAGAGGGUGACCGGCCACAUUGGGACUGAGCUACGGCCCAGACUCCUACGGGAGGCAACAGUGGGGAAUAUUGCACAAUGGGCGGAAGCCAGAUGCAGCAACGCCGCGUGCGGGAUGACGGCCUUCGGUUUGUAAACCGCUUUCGCCUGUGACGAAGCGUGAGUGACGGUAAUGGGUAAAGAAGCACCGGCUAACUACGUG